rnacentral:sRNA from 1 species
UUUUAGACGAGAUGGUCAAGAAGGACCUCGGGCAGGAGGUGACUUAGAUCAAGGUUGAAUGACAAGGAGAGGCCAUGUGAAGAACUGAGGGCACAGAGUUCCCAGGCAAAAGGAAGACCCAAAUGUGGGCAUGAAUUUGCUGAGUUCUAAGAAAAAGUUAAUGAAAUUUGAACUUCAUAAGGUGAAUGAGUUCUAGGAAGGAUUUAAAAGGGGCCUUGCCAUGUUGGGCCAUAGUGAGGAGUACGGUCUUUCUUGGAAGGAAGCCACUGGGCUUUGAGUUGGGGUGAGAUGCACUCUGAUAGGUGUUGUGUAAACAGUGGAUCUUUGAGGGGCAAGAGUAAAGCAGAGAGGCCCCUUAAGAGGACAUAGAGGUGAAGUUUGAGAGAGAAAAAAAUGAAUGGGAGGAUCCAGCAUUCUGGCUUGAGCGAGUGAAGGAAGAUGAUGCCGUUUCAGAAAUAAGGGACACUGGAAGGCUGCAGAUCUUACAGACUCUUUCAGCACCUACGAAAAAUUUAGAGCAGCAGGUGAAUCACAGCCAGCAGGGACAUACAAAUGCC